GUGCGAGAAAGGGGCUUCGGUCCUGAGUAGAGCGGCGCACGGGUGAGUAACGCGUGGGUGAUCUCCCUUGGUGAUCGGGAUAACAGCGGGAAACUGCUGCUAAUACCGGAUAAUCUUCAUGUUUGACUUCAUGGGGUAAAGGUGGCCUCUGCUUGCAAGCUACCACAUCAAGAUGAGCCCGCGUCUCAUUAGCUAGUUGGUAGGGUAAUGGCCUACCAAGGCUACGAUGAGUAGCUGGUCUGAGAGGAUGACCAGCCACACUGGGACUGGAACACGGCCCAGACUCCUACGGGAGGCAGCAGUGGGGAAUAUUGCGCAAUGGGCGAAAGCCUGACGCAGCGACGCCUCGUGAGGGAUGAAGGUCUUCGGAUCGUAAACCUCUGUCAAGAGGGAAGAAACCCUUGGAUUCGAAUAGGGUGCCUUGGCUGACGGUACCUCAAAAGGAAGCACCGGCUAACUCCGUGCCAGCAGCCGCGGUAAUACGGAGGGUGCAAGCGUUAAUCGGAAUCACUGGGCGUAAAGCGCUCGUAGGCGGUUUGGUCAGUCAGAUGUGAAAGCCCUCGGCU
rnacentral:rRNA from 1 species